GACGAACGCCGGCGGCGUGCUUAACACAUGCAAGUCGAACGGAAAGGCCCUGCUUUUGUGGGGUGCUCGAGUGGCGAACGGGUGAGUAACACGUGAGUAACCUGCCCUUGACUUUGGGAUAACUUCAGGAAACUGGGGCUAAUACCGGAUAGGAGCUCCUGCUGCAUGGUGGGGGUUGGAAAGUUUCGGCGGUUGGGGAUGGACUCGCGGCUUAUCAGCUUGUUGGUGGGGUAGUGGCUUACCAAGGCUUUGACGGGUAGCCGGCCUGAGAGGGUGACCGGCCACAUUGGGACUGAGAUACGGCCCAGACUCCUACGGGAGGCAGCAGUGGGGAAUAUUGCACAAUGGGCGGAAGCCUGAUGCAGCAACGCCGCGUGCGGGAUGACGGCCUUCGGGUUGUAAACCGCUUUCGCCUGUGACGAAGCGUGAGUGACGGUAAUGGGUAAAGAAGCACCGGCCAACUACGUG
rnacentral:rRNA from 1 species